rnacentral:misc_RNA from 1 species
UCCCGGUUGGCCCGGGCAGUCUCGCAUGAAAAAUACAACAUACGAUAGGGGUUGCGCUCGUUGCGGGACUUAACCCAACAUCUCACGACACGAGCUGACGACGGCCAUGCAGUACCUGUCACUAGGCUCCCGAAGGCACUCCCCAAUUUCUUGGGGAUUCCUAGGAUGUCAAGCCUUGGUAAGGUUCUACGCGUAGCGUCAUAUUAAACCACAUCAUCCUCUGCUUGUGCGGGUCCCCGUCAAUUCCUUUGAGUUUUAGCCUUGCGGCCGUACUUCCCAGGCGGCAUACUUAACGCGUUAGCUGCGUCGCACAGGGGGUCGAUACCCCAUACGACUAGUAUGCAUCGUUUACGGCGUGGACUAC